GAAGGUAUGAUUGCCGAUAAACCUGAUUCAUACUGUAAAGAAAAUGUGAGCUCAACUGAAUGUACUUUCAGUAACACCGAUGUCCCAAUAGUGAUGUAAAUAUUGAGGUGAACUGCCACACAACGGCAUGGCUGCCUCAAUGAGAUGGAAUGAACCUUGAAGCCGUGUGUCUGCAUUGUUGACAACUAAUUGAUCAAUAAAAUGUUUUACGUUAUAGAAUGGAA